AGCAGCCGCGGUAAUUCCAGCUCCAAUAGCGUAUAUUAAAGUUGUUGCAGUUAAAAAGCUCGUAGUUGAAUUUCGGGGUUAGUAGGUUGGUCAUGCCUCUGGUAUGUACUGGUCUCACUGAUUCCUCCUUCCUGAUGAGCCGUAAUGCCAUUAAUUUGGUGUUGCGGGGAAUUUGGACUGUUACUUUGAAAAAAUUAGAGUGUUUAAAGCAAGCUAACGCUUGAAUACAUUAGCAUGGAAUAAUGAAAUAGGACGUUCGAUCCUAUUUUGUUGGUUUCUAGGAUUGACGUAAUGAUUAAUAGGGAUAGUUGGGGGCAUUAGUAUUCAAUUGUCACAGGUGAAAUUCCUGGAUUUAUUUGAAGACUAACUACUGCCAAAGCAUUUGCCAAGGAUGUUUUCAUUAAUCAAGAACG
rnacentral:rRNA from 1 species